GUCUACGGACCUGCCACCCUAAGCAAGCCCUAUUCCAUCUGAUCUCGGAAGCUAAGCAGGGUUGGGCCUGGUUAGUACUUGGAUGGGAGACCACCUAGGAAGACCAGGUGCUGUAGACA
rnacentral:rRNA from 1 species